rnacentral:rRNA from 1 species
CCUACGGGCGGCAGCAGUGAGGAAUAUUGGUCAAUGGCCGGAAGGCUGAACCAGCCAUGCCGCGUGAAGGUCAGUGCCCUAUGGGCGUUAAACUUCUUUUGUGCGGGAGCAAUAAUGGUCACGUGUGGCCAGACGAGAGUACCGUACGAAUAAGCAUCGGCUAACUCCGUGUCAGCAGCCGCGGUAAUACGGGGGAUGCAAGCGUUAUCCGGAUUUAUUGGGUUUAAAGGGUGCGUAGGCUGUGAGGUAAGUCAGCGGUGAAAUGCCCCCGCUCAACGGGGUGAAGUGCCAUUGAUACUGCCUGGCUGGAAUGCGGAUGCCGUGGGAGGAAUGUGGAGUGUAGCGGUGAAAUGCAUAGAUAUCACACAGAACACCGAUUGCGAAGGCAUCUCACGAAUCCGCGAUUGACGCUGAUGCACGAAAGCGUGGGUAUCAAACAGGAUUAGAUACCCUAGUAGUC